rnacentral:rRNA from 1 species
UACGUAGGGCGCAAGCGUUGUCCGGAAUUAUUGGGCGUAAAGAGCUCGUAGGCGGCUUGUCACGUCGGAUGUGAAAGCCCGGGGCUUAACCCCGGGUCUGCAUUCGAUACGGGCUAGCUAGAGUGUGGUAGGGGAGAUCGGAAUUCCUGGUGUAGCGGUGAAAUGCGCAGAUAUCAGGAGGAACACCGGUGGCGAAGGCAGGUCACUGGGCCGCAACUGACGCUGAGGAGCGAAAGCAUGGGGAGCGAACAGG